GCGGGUCCCCUUUGUGACGUCUGCAUCUGCUUCCUGCCUCCAGGUUCUUGUCCUGACUUUCUUCAGUGAUCUACAGUGAUGUGGAGUGUAAGCCAGAUAAAUCCCUUCUUCUCCGGGUUCCUGUGGUCACGGUGUUACAUCACAGCAAUAGUAACCCUGACUUAGACCAGAUCCAGUGUCACCUUCUGCCUCUGAAGUCCCCAGUAUGUCCUGGAAAUUUUCAAUGACGGUUACUUUGAUUGUCAACUGGACUGGAUUGAGAGGUAGAUGCCUAGAAAACUGGUAAGUUUUUCAUAGUAAAAAGUAAAGCCAAAUGGAGCUACCGGUAAUGACGAAAGAUGUUGAAGUGAGCCGGGGACACACAAUUCUGUGGUAAAGCAACUGCCAAGCAUCUGAGAGGCCCCAACAUCACAAAACCGGUCAACUCAAGCAAGAAUCAACUAUAGUACAUCCUCUUCAGAGUCUCCGGGAAGGAAGCUGGCUUGCUACCAUCAUUGGUAUGUGGUUCCACAAAGAAGAACCAGUUCCAGAACCCUGGGAAAGCUGGGCUUCUAAUUCUGGUGAGUCUACACCCAAACCUCAAAUCCGAGGAAGGGAGGCUGAUUCUGGGGGUCAGGACUCGUGACCCCUGCCUGUUUUCAAACGUGUCGGUGGGGACUGAAUCUAAGAUCUCUCAUACUCCAGGCAAGUGCUCUUUACCCAACCACUUCUUUUUGAGUCAGAUUCUCAUUACGUUGCCCAAGCUAGCCUUGA